rnacentral:rRNA from 1 species
ACGGAAGGCAGCAGUGGGGAAUAUUGCACAAUGGAGGAAACUCUGAUGCAGCGAUGCCGCGUGAGGGAAGAAGGUUUUAGGAUUGUAAACCUCUGUCUUUGGGGACGAUAAUGACGGUACCCAAGGAGGAAGCUCCGGCUAACUACGUGCCAGCAGCCGCGGUAAUACGUAGGGAGCGAGCGUUGUCCGGAAUUACUGGGUGUAAAGGGAGUGUAGGCGGGACUACAAGUCAGAUGUGAAAACUAUGGGCUUAACCCAUUAGACUGCAUUUGAAACUGUGGUUCUUGAGUGAAGUAGAGGUAAGCGGAAUUCCUAGUGUAGCGGUGAAAUGCGUAGAUAUUAGGAGGAACAUCAGUGGCGAAGGCGGCUUACUGGGCUUUAACUGACGCUGAGGCUCGAAAGCGUGGGGAGCAAACAGGAUUAGAUACCCUGGUA